rnacentral:tRNA from 1 species
GCCUUGUUAGCGCAGUAGGUAGCGCGUCAGUCUCAUAAUCUGAAGGUCGAGAGUUAGAUCCUCACACAGGGCA